rnacentral:rRNA from 1 species
UUAAAUUGAAGAGUUUGAUCAUGGCUCAGAUUGAACGCUGGCGGCAGGCUUAACACAUGCAAGUCGAACGGUAACAUGAGUGCUUGCACUUGAUGACGAGUGGCGGACGGGUGAGUAAGGUAUGGGGAUCUGCCGAAUGGAGGGGGACAACAGUUGGAAACGACUGCUAAUACCGCAUAAAGUUGAGAGACCAAAGCAUGGGACC